rnacentral:rRNA from 1 species
AUGCUUGUCUCAAAGACUAAGCCAUGCAUGUCUAAGUAUAAAUGCUUCUAUACUGUGAAACUGCGAAUGGCUCAUUAAAUCAGUUAUAGUUUAUUUGAUGGUUCCUUACUACUUGGAUAACCGUAGUAAUUCUAGAGCUAAUACAUGCACAAAGUCCCGACUUCUGGAAGGGAUGUAUUUAUUAGAUCCAAAACCAGCGCGAGUCCUCCGGGGCUCGGUUGCUUGGUGAUUCAUGAUAACUUCUCGAACCGUAUGGCCCUCGUGCUGACGGUGCUUCAUUCAAAUUUCUGCCCUAUCAACUUUCGAUGGUACGGUAGUGGCCUACCAUGGUUGCAACGGGUGACGGAGAAUUAGGGUUCGAUUCCGGAGAGGGAGCCUGAGAAACGGCUACCACAUCCAAGGAAGGCAGCAGGCGCGCAAAUUACCCAAUCCCGACUCGGGGAGGUAGUGACAAUAAAUAACAAUGCCGGGCUAUCGUAGUCUGGCAAUUGGAAUGAGUACAAUCUAAACCCCUUAACGAGGAACAAUUGGAGGGCAAGUCUGGUGCCAGCAGCCGCGGUAAUUCCAGCUCCAAUAGCGUAUAUUAAAGUUGUU